AAUGGUUACCUCUGGUGGAGUCAGGUGUGUGUUAUUGACCGGGAAGAGGCACAAGAGGUCUUCUCAGGUAUAGGAAGUUUUGUAUAUCUGGAUAUGGGCAGUAUUUACAUUGCUGUCAACACAUAUAAAAAAUAAACUGCCCGACUUCAGAUUUGUACACCUUAUUAAUGAUUUAUUAUAUAUUAAUUAAAAAGAAACAUUGAACAAGAGAUACAAUUGAAAUAGAAAAGGAACUUUAAAAAGGCAACCAUUUCUAAUCAUAGCAAAAACUUUAUAAAAAGCAUCAAGGUGUAAAUCUAACAAGAUUUAUGAGAUCUUUUAUUAGAGAACAGUAAAAUUUCUUUUGGAAGGCUAAGUACAUAGAGAAAUAAAUUGUACUUGUUAAUAAGACUCUAUAUCCAGCUGGCACAGACUGCUUCAAUGAAUCAAGGCAGAUGUUUCUUUAAAUUUUUUUUAUCAUGGUAAAAUACACAUAACACAGAAUUUACCUCUUAACUAUUUUUAAAUGUACAGUUUACUGGUGUUAAGUACAUUCAUAUUGUUGUGCAACCACCACCACCACUACCAUCCAUCUCCAAGACUCUUCAUCUUGUGAAACUGAAACUUUUGCCCAUUAAAUAGUAACUUCUUGUUCUCUUCCCAUCUGCCGCAGGCAACCAUCAUUUUCCUUUUUGUUUCGUAUGAUUUUGAUUACUCUGAGUACUUCCUAUAAAUGGAAUAAUACAAUAUUUGUCUUUUGGUGACUGGCUUAUUUCACUUAGUCGCAUGUGGUUCAUCCAUGUUGUAGCAUGUAAGUGAGUCUAUGGUAGACAGUAUAUAGUUGGAGCAUUCUGCCAAUCUCUGUCUUUUGAUUGGAUAAUUUAUUUGCUUUUAAAGUAAUUAAUGAUAAGGAGGAACCUGCUUCUGUCCUUUUUCUCUUUGUUUUCUACAUCAAGGUACAAAUUUUAUGUUCAGAUACAAUUCCAAACCACAAUGAGGAUUUAUCUUACUGCCCUCUACCCCACAGAAAUGCAUUCGUAGGCUCCUAAAGGAAACUCUGUUAGAUUGCUUGUUGUCAAAAACUAUUGAGAUCAUUUUGGCCUGUUCCAUGCUAUGAGAAUGAGAUUCACGCUGUACCCAAGGAUUUACUGAUCUCUCUUGGCAGAAUACUGUCUCUUCUCCUUCUCUUUUCUGUUUGGUAAUAGAAGAAGAGAAGAAAAGUUUGAAGUCAGUUCUUUAUGUCAUUUAGUAUAUGAACCAAUAACUCAACACGUUUAGACAAAAAACCAUGAAAUAAACUUUACUUAUACUCUAAAAUAAACCAAACCAAACUACAAAAGUAGUAAGAAGGAAAUUAUAAAAUAAAAUCUAUCAAUUAACUAGAAAACAGAAAAAUAGAAUUGAGCAUUAAAGUCUAGAUUUGGACCUUGAAAAAAUUCCAAAUCAAAAGAAAGCUCUGACUAGCUAGAAGAGGAGAAGGAAAAACAUACAAUGUUUUAAAUGAAAAGGAGUAUGCCAGAUAAUACCACUGAGGAAAUUUGAAAUAAUGAGAGAAAGUAUAACUCUUUUCUUGUUAGGUAUAAAAUUUUCAUGAAAUGACUGAUUUUCUUAGAUAAUGUAAUUAAACAGAAAUGUGUAAUAGAGUAAACAUGACUGAGAGAGAAAAACUUUAUUGAUCAAACAUUUGGCUUCCAAGUAAAGUACCUGACCUAGCUCAAUAUUAGGUAACAUUAUGGAGUAUUUGCUGGGUGUGAUAAUGACAUUGUGGUUAUAUGAUAAGUGAAUUAUUUAGGGUUGAAGUGUCAAAUCACAGUGUCUUUGUGGAAGGAUAAAGCUUUGUGGAGGGAUAGGGGAAAUUGUUCGACAGUUGUUGAAUCUAAGUAGAAGGAAUUCACAUGUUUAUUUUAACAUUCUAUCAACUUUUUGGUAUAUUCUUAACAAAAAGAAAAAAACAAUGCCUGACUUAGAUGUUUAUGUGGGUGACUCAAGCUAUCAGGUAAUGGAUAACUCCUGUGCUAUAUAAAGAGUUCUAAUACACUAAUACAAACUUCCUAAUUUAUUUGAGGACAUUAACAAAAACCUCAGAAGACAUACCUGAAAUUAUGAAUCUUUCACAUCAGUGUGAUGUCUCCACUUUUAUUUCUAAUUUUAUUUAUUUGAGUCUUCUAGUUUUUUCUUAGUCUAGCUAAAUGUUUAACAUUGUUUUUACCUUUUCAAAACUAACAAUUUAGUUGAUUUCUUCCUGUUUUUCAUUUCUGCUCUAAUUUUUAUUCUUUCAUUCUUUCUGCUAACUUUGGGCUUAGUUUUGUUCUUCUUUUUCUAGUUCCUUGAGGUGUAAAGUUGAGUUGCUUAUUUGAGAUCUUUCUUCCUUUAAAAACAGACAGUUAUCAUUAGAAACUUCCCUCUUAGUCCUGAUUUUGCUUCAUCCCGUAAGUUUUCAUUUGUUGUAUUUUUGUCUUAAGAUAUUUUUUAAUUUUCCUUGAUCUCAUCUUUGAUCCACUGGUUAAGAGUGUGUUGUUGCUCUACUGGUGGGAUUUGAUUGCAUGAUGUCUCACAAAAAGUUAUCCGCUCCCAGGCAUGGGUCCCUCAGCUUCCUGCCUCGGAAGUGCAGCAGCAGGCAUCGCGGGAAGGUCAAGAGCUUCCCUAAGGAUGACCCGUCUAAGCCGGUCCACCUCACAGCCUUCCUGGGAUACAAGGCUGGCAUGACCCACAUCGUGCGGGAAGUUGACAGGCCAGGAUCCAAGGUGAACAAGAAGGAGGUGGUGGAGGCUGUGACUAUUGUGGAGACGCCACCCAUGGUGGUUGUGGGCAUUGUGGGCUACAUGGAAACCCCUCUAGGCCUCCGGACUUUCAAGACUGUCUUCGCUGAGCACAUCAGUGAUGAAUGCAAGAGGUGUUUCUAUAAGAACUGGCAUAAAUCUAAGAAGAAGGCCUUUACCAAGUACUGCAAGAAGUGGCAGGAUGAAGAUGGCAAGAAGCAGCUGGAGAAGGACUUCAGCAGCAUGAAGAAGUACUGCCAAGUCAUCUGUGUCAUUGCCCACACCCAGAUGCACCUGCUUCCUCUGCGCCAGAAGAAGGCCCACCUGAUGGAGAUCCAGGUGAAUGGAGGCACUGUGGCCGAGAAGCUGGACUGGGCCCGUGAGAGGCUCGAGCAGCAGGUACCUGUGAACCAAGUGUUUGGGCAGGAUGAGAUGAUCGACGUCAUCGGGGUGACCAAAGGCAAAGGCUACAAAGGCACACCAAGAAGCUGCCCCGCAAGACCCACCGAGGUCUGUGCAAGGUGGCCUGUAUUGGGGCAUGGCAUCCUGCUUGUGUGGCCUUCUCUGUGGCAUGUGCUGGGCAGAAAGGCUACCAUCACCACACUGAGAUCAACAAGAAGAUCUUUAAGAUUGGCCAGGGCUGCCUUAUCACAGACGGCAAGCUGAUCAAGAACAAUGCUUCCACUGACUAUGACCUGCCUGAAAGAGCAUCAACCCUCUGGGUGACUUUGUCCACUAUGGGGAAGUGACCAAUGACUUUGUCAUGCUGAAAGGCUGUGUGGUGGGAACGAAGAAGCGGAUGCGCACACUCCGCAAGUCCUUGCUGUCACAGACGAAGCAGCGGGCUGUGGAGAAGAUUGACCUUAAGUUCAUUGACACCACCUCCAAAUUUGGCCAUGGCCACUUCCAGACCAUGGAAGAGAAGAAAGCAUUCAUGGGACCACUCAAGAAAGACCGAAUUGCAAAGGAAGAAGGAGCUUAAUGCCAGGAGCAGAUUUUGCAGCUGGUGGGGUCUCAAUAAAAGUUAUUUUCCACUGAAAAAAAAAAAAAAGA